UACGUAGGGUGCGAGCGUUGUCCGGAAUUAUUGGGCGUAAAGAGCUUGUAGGCGGUUUGUCGCGUCUGCUGUGAAAAUCCGGGGCUCAACCCCGGACUUGCAGUGGGUACGGGCAGACUAGAGUGUGGUACGGGAGACUGGAAUUCCUGGUGUAGCGGUGAAAUGCGCAGAUAUCAGGAGGAACACCGAUGGCGAAGGCAGGUCUCUGGGCCACUACUGACGCUGAGAAGCGAAAGCAUGGGGAGCGAACAGG
rnacentral:rRNA from 1 species